rnacentral:rRNA from 1 species
CGAAGGUCCCAAGCGUUAUCCGGAUUUAUUGGGUUUAAAGGGUGCGUAGGCGGGUUAUUAAGUCAGUGAUGAAAGCCUUCAGCUUAACUGAAGAAUUGCCAUUGAUACUGAUGAUCUUGAGUAUGAUUGAGGUGGGCGGAAUGUGUCAUGUAGCGGUGAAAUGCUUAGAUAUGACACAGAACACCGAUUGCGAAGGCAGCUCACUAAGUCAUAACUGACGCUGAUGCACGAAAGCGUGGGGAGCAAACAGGAUUAGAUACCCUGGUAGUCCACGCCCUAAACGAUGAUCACUCGAUGUGUGCGAUACACUGUACGCGUCUGAGCGAAAGCAUUAAGUGAUCCACCUGGGGAGUACGACCGCAAGGUUG